rnacentral:rRNA from 1 species
ACGAGAAGCGAACCUGCGAAGGCAAGCGGAUCUCUUAAAGCCGUUCUCAGUUCGGACUGUAGGCUGCAACCCGCCUACACGAAGCUGGAAUCGCUAGUAAUCGCGGAUCAGCACGCCGCGGUGAAUACGUUCCCGGGCCUUGUACACACCGCCCGUCACACCAUGGGAGCCGGUAAUACCCGAAGUCAGUAGUCCAACCACGUGAGGACGCUGCCGAAGGUAGGAUUGGCGACUGGGGUGAAGUCGUAACAAGGUAUC